GACGUAGGGGGCCAGCGUUGUUCGGAAUUACUGGGUGUAAAGGGUUCGUAGGCGGUGUGGCAAGUCGGGAGUGAAAUCUCUGGGCUCAACCCAGAGACUGCUUCCGAAACUGCUGUGCUUGAGUGUGAGAGAGGCUCGUGGAAUUGCAGGUGUAGCGGUGAAAUGCGUAGAUAUCUGCAGGAACACCCGUGGCGAAAGCGGCGAGCUGGAUCACUACUGACGCUGAGGAACGAAAGCGUGGGGAGCGAACAGG
rnacentral:rRNA from 1 species